rnacentral:rRNA from 1 species
GAUGAACGCUAGCUACAGGCCUAACACAUGCAAGUCGAGGGGCAUCGGGAGGGAAGCUUGCUUUCCUUGCCGGCGACCGGCGCACGGGUGAGUAACGCGUAUCGAACCUGCCCCCAUACCCGGGGAUAGCCCUUGCGAAAGUAAGAUUAAUACCCGAUGGUUUCCUUUUAUCUCCUGAUAUUAGGAAUAAAGAAUUUCGGUAUGGGAUGGCGAUGCGUCCGAUUAGCUUGUUGGCGGGGUAACGGCCCACCAAGGCGACGAUCAGUAGGGGUUCUGAGAGGAAGGUCCCCCCACAUUGGAACUGAGACACGGGUCCAAAACUCCUACGGGAGGCAGCAGUGAGGAAUAUUGGGUC